rnacentral:rRNA from 1 species
UACGUAGGGUGCGAGCGUUAAUCGGAAUUACUGGGCGUAAAGCGCGCGCAGGCGGUCCUUUAAGUCUGAUGUGAAAGCCCACGGCUCAACCGUGGAGGGUCAUUGGAAACUGGGGGACUUGAGUACAGAAGAGGAAAGCGGAAUUCCACGUGUAGCGGUGAAAUUCGUAGAUAUCGGGAGGAACACCAGUGGCGAAGGCGACCACCUGGACGAACACUGACGCUGAGGCGCGAAAGCGUGGGGAGCAAACAGG